UACCGGCAGCUCAAGUGGUCGUCGCUUUUAUUGGGCCUAAAACGUCCGUAGCCUGUUUGGUAAAUCUGUGGGUAAAUCAACUCGCUCAACGAGUUGAAUUCUGCAGAGACUGCCAGACUAGGGACCGGGAGAGGUGUGGGGUACUCGAGGGGUAGGGGUAAAAUCCUGUCAUCCUCAGAGGACCACCUGUUGCGAAGGCGUCAUACUGGAACGGAUCCGACGGUCAGGGACGAAGCCUAGGGGCACGAACCGG
rnacentral:rRNA from 1 species